rnacentral:misc_RNA from 1 species
CAAGAAUGGAUCAUGGCGUAAACAUUCAAAGCUAUCCCAUGAAUGCAAAUCGGUUAUCGAUUUCCUCACGAAUCCAUCUUCAACCCCACCCACUUCUCCGUCUGCCGAACCCGAUCCGGAUUUGGCAGCACAUCCCGGAGUUCUUCUAGAUCUCUCUUUCAAUGAUUCGGAGCUUAUUCUUAGCCCUUUUAUAAACGCUGCUGGUUCAGGUCAUCUUAAGAUUGCUGAAGCUGCACUUGAUGCUGUGCAAAAG